GCCACAGGAAUGCACGCGCGCCCUCCUCACUAACGGUCCCACUGGUCUUCGCCAACUGCAAAGCUCAGGCAAGUGCAGACUCCUCUGCCUCCUCCAGCCCAGAGCAAGCUCGGGAAGGUCCUAAACUUGCCUAAAUUCCCAGGGGCAGGUGUGAGGUAAUGCACUUGGCCACAGGGUAACACAGUGGACCCAUGCAGAGCCAAGAAAGCCGCACAGGGACAGGCUGGUGAUGUUGAAAGCUCAUAGAGACCAGCGUUUCCCACCAGAACUAGAUGUGAAGACCCUUUCAUUGAAAAACUCCAUGUUCUUUGGCUUCGGGAAAGAGCAAAACCAAGCUGCAACUGAUCUGGAAGCUUCCUUCCUGCUGGCUAGCUUCCCUGAUGCUGGACUGUGCUUUGCAGGUUCUGGGAGAGAAAGACAGGCUUAAGUCAGUUCUGGACCCUACAUGCUGCAUGACUGACCUGCCGAGCAGUAUGCUACUAGGGUGAUGGUCUUAUCACCAUUAAGGGAACAGCCAGCUGCUUUUGUCUAGAUCUGAGGUCAGCUCCUCUUGGAAUUCACACCAAGUGCUAGAAAGCUGCUUGGCGGCCCUUGGCUGGGAGCCACUAGGUCCUGCUGUGGAAGGUUCUACUGUUUUGCUAAAUGACCGUGCUAGCCAGCAAAUUGCCUUCUGAGCAGUUCUGUCUAUGCCUACGUAUUAGUGGUGCCCUCAGUUUUGGUCACACAGACAUUUUCAGUUGGCGGCAGUUACUGCAGUGGAGACUCAGGGUCAAAGUGCUAAGGUUUGGUGACUGCUGAAGACCCAGCACUAAAGAGGACAUCAGUAUCAUUCCACGGGCCAGGGGACAGUGUGGAAGUAAGACACAGUAGAGGUAGUGGGGAUUGAUGGGGCUCUGUCUGUCCCACAUGCAUGAACUCAGAGUGGCGCCUGUGCGAGUCUUAAGCACCCCAACAUGGCAUCCUGGUGUCUGUGCCUGCCGUAUUAUCACAGAGGCUUGUUUGUGAAGAAACUCAUGGCUGGCCAAGGUGCUAAGAGCAAGUGACUGGUCAGUGCUCAGUCUUAAGCGGGACACCCGUUUCCCUCUGUCUGAAGCUCAGAGAAUAUUGUAGAAGAUGGGGAUUGCAAGCACCGGACAAUGGGGGGAGGGCUUUGAAAUGCUAUCUUCAGGGGACCGGCAUGACCAUGGUUCUCAUGGAUUCAGAGCAGCCACAGUUACCUGAGCCUGUACAAGAUGGAGCCUAAACACCGUCAUUCUCUUAACAGUAUGCUUCCCACCAGAGCUGCAUGUUUAGGAUGUGGAGAAAUCAAGGGGCUAGCUAGAUUUGAGAGUGCCGGAGUGUGCUGUGAAUGAAGAUCCUGAGGGGAAAAACAUCACCAAACGUACUCUGUUCCACACCCUCUGCCUCGCUCACCGCCACCUGCCAAGUGUUCCGCCUACCACCGGAGUAAAAGGGGGUAACCUAUUAUUCUCUAUAACUGAUAUACCAAAAUAUGUCUUUUGCUGUUGUGAGAUAGACUUCUCCUGGGGAUACAUGACAUAUUUAUUCACCCCAGAGGGUAAAUCCACAACAGGCUACCACUUUUGAAUGGACUGUAGCCAGCUCUCCCAGGACUUCAUACCUAGUACCAUAAAGCCUUUCAGUAGUUCUUAGCAGGGGAGCUCCUGGGCCCUGGUGAGGGGAGAUCCUAUUGUCAUGGAUGGGACUGGGGGUUGUGGGGUCCUGCCUAGGGGAGCUAAUAGCCGUGGUGGGCUACUGGAGGAAGGAAGUCACUGUCUUUAGUGCUGUAGCCCUGACAACUCAUGGAUCCUUCAUCUCCAUUCUCAAGUGAGCAUCCUUCAGACUCAGUGGGCCAUGAAACAAAAAUAAAACGUUACUACUGUGGGAAAAUGAGUUGGUGGUGGUAGGAAGAGGACAAGAGAGGGUCAAGCGAAAAAGAUGGUCAAUAUAUAUAUACACAUAUAUGUGUGUAUAUAUAUGUACAUAUAUAUAUGCAUAAAAUAUCCCUGAGUAGAUCCAUUCAAGAAUAUUUGGCAUUUCAACAUUCUAUGUUGGGUGGGUGCAGAACUAACUAGACUCAACCCCUCUUUGAGGAUUUGUAGACCCACUCUUCAGUUGAUGGGGUGGUGGGUAAAAAGAUAUUUCUUUAAUGAUAUAACCGCUGUUAUGCUGCCCAUGCUUCUUUAAGCAACCCUGAUUGAACUCAUUAGACCAAACACACUGAAUAUGGGAAGAGGGAGGAGAUUAGUGAAAGUAAGAAGUGGUCCCAAAAGGGUAAUGGGGAAAAUAUGAUAACAUAUAUUAUUUUGUAUAAUUAAUAUGUGUUGGAAAUGUGUCUUCCACUGUUGUAUGACCAACAUUUCCUAGGGAUAUGAAAUGUGUACAUGCUCACCUCUGAAUGUGAGCCCACAUAGACCAUUGUAGGGAUUGCACACAAGUCCAGCUUGAUGAACCAAUGAUUUUUGUUGGGGUUGCUAACAGGAGUGUGGGCUGCAGGUUAUUUACAGGAGCAAAUUUUUAAAACCAACUGUGGGGCUGAAGAGAGGACUCAGAGGUUAAGAGCAGUGGCUUCUUGUCUACAGAAUUCAGGGUCAAGUCUCAGCUUCCACAGAAGAGUUCUGUAACUACAGAUACAGGGGAUCUGAUGCCCUUGUUCGGCCUCCAUAUUUGGCACCAGGUAUGCACGUAACAUACAGAAUAUAUGCAGGCAAAGUACCCAUACACAUUUUUUCAAGUGCAGCAUCUGAAAAGCCCCCCCACAGGAAAGCCACGGCCUUUUCCUGGAGUUUCUUGCAGGGUUUGCAGGCAGCUGACAGUCCUGAGAUCUCUCUUAGCCUCCAGGCUGCUCAGGGGCUCCUCCCCCAGCAGCUGCUUAUACCUCUUGUCAAACCAGGGAGAGGCAUUAUAGAAUUUUCCAAGUUUCUUCCUUCCUGAACUUGAAACCUUUUGUUUACUUACCUCCCGAAGGAGCCUUCCUUUCCCUCCUGCAGGGAAUGUUCCAAGAGGAAAUGACCAUACAUCGUUUGCUGAGCAGGAAUUUGCCCUUUCCCUUUGACCUUAGCACACAGACUGAGAAAAUAGAUUUGAAUAAAUUCCCACAUUGUAGUGGGUUCUUGCAUAGAACACGACUUAAUUAUAUUGCAUCUACACAGCUCAUCAUGAAAGCAUAUGGCCAACUUCUAUCUUCUAGAAGUUCAUAGUUUUUUUCAUUUUGGUGGUCGAUCCACGAUCUACUGUGUGUUGACUGUACUUGUGAUGAAUGCAUAUGAUUUAGUCACAUCGCACCAUUUAUGUACUGUAUAGUUGCUAAGGCCUCUUCCCACAGUGGUCUCAGUAUCCUAUUUAACAGUGUACCUGUUUAACACUCGCUGUCCAGCCCUGCUUUUCAUUGUCCUCUUGUGUUCAUCCAGAUAUCUUUCAUAAAUGCAAUCAUGGAUUUUGCCCCCUUCACUACCACUCUUUUAGUUCCUAGCUUAAUUUCCUCAAGGUUCUUGCAUAUGGUACUGAAGAAGGGUCAGGGAACUUGGGCAAGCGUGUGCUGAUCUGAAAACAGGAACUUGCCACUUUAAGAGAGGGUUGCAAACCUUACGAAUUGCUAAGGGCGAUCAGGCUGGGACCAAUGAGAGGCCGAAAGGGACCCUCUGAGAAGUCCUACCUAGAUCUCCCCUGUGGGGAUGGUUUUCCUUAGUUGUUGGGAUCUCUCCACCAACCUUCACUCUUCUUCUGCUUAUGGUCUCUAUGUGUGCCUCUUCUUUCCAGGUUGUACAAUUCUUUGUCAGUCCCACAGAAUGAACUCAGUGCUACCCUAGAUGACCACCUCCCCCAUGAGCCUUAUACAGUGCGAUGCUUCAUGAUUUGCUCCCUUUAAGUCGGAAUAAUAUUCUAUGGUAGAGAUAUACCACAUUCCUCAUCUUCUGUCAGUGGUCACUGAGCUGCUUUUACAGAGGGGCUGUUGUAAAUAAUGUUGUAUCUGUGGUCAUUUUAUGAUCUGUUCAUGUCCCUCCACUCUUUUGACACAUUCUCAGAAGUAAAAUUCCUGGAUCAUAGGAUAUUUUUGUUGUUGGGGAUUUUGUUGGUUUCUUUGUUCGGUUUUGGGUUUUUGUUGUUUUGUUGUUUUUCGAGACAAUUUAUGUAGCACAGGCUGACCUUGAACUUGUGAUUGAAGAAGAGUCAGGGAAACUUAAGCCAACUGGAAAAACAGGGAUAGGACCCUUUAUGAGAGGCUGGUUUUUGCUCCUGGGGUAGUAUUUCCCCAUCCCUGAUUGUACCUGAUACAAAUUACUAAUGGCUGGCAUGGGCAGGACCAACCAGAGAGAAGGGGAAAGGAAUGUAGAGAGGGCAUGGCCUGGAGACCCUAUAAAGUGUCCAGCAGACCCAGACUCCUGGGAUGGACCCUCAGCGCUAGGGCUUCCUUAGCCCCCUGACUGCAACUGUCUGCUCUAAAAGCCUUCGUAGUUUCCUUUCUCUUCUGGCUCCCGCUGUGUUUUUCUGCUUCACUUUCUUAGCAACUGCCACUGUCGCUUCUUUCCAGUAGAAUUUUGGACUUCUGAUUUCCCCAGACAUCCAGUCUUUUCUUUACCUCAUGGGAUGAA
rnacentral:sRNA from 1 species